CACGUAGGGCGCAAGCGUCGUCCGGAAUUAUUGGGCGUAAAGAGCUCGUAGGCGGUCUGUUGCGUCCGCUGUGAAAACCCAGGGCUUAACCCUGGGCUGGCAGUGGAUACGGACAGACUAGAGGUAGGUAGGGGAGAAUGGAAUUCCCGGUGUAGCGGUGAAAUGCGCAGAUAUCGGGAGGAACACCGGUGGCGAAGGCGGUUCUCUGGGCCUUACCUGACGCUGAGGAGCGAAAGCGUGGGGAGCGAACAGG
rnacentral:rRNA from 1 species